rnacentral:lncRNA from 1 species
CGAGAGCCGCCACCGCCGCCGGAGUCACCGCGCCGCCCCCGGGGCUGCGGCUCUGCCCGCAACAACGCCGCCGCCGCCGCUCCCGCACCGCGGGCCGCCCGAGAGCCGGAACGGAGCGAGGAGAGGGCUCUGGCCGUGCUGCACACUUCGCCAUGUAAACCUGCCCAGCCUCGCAGAUGCCAGCUGUCAGCACAGCCCUGGACCUGCAGAACGGUGAGCACAGGGGGUCCAUCUGCGGGGGUUCGGCUCCGGGUGCUCCUCGUGGCAUUGGUUC